UACGGGGGGGGCAAGCGUUGUUCGGAAUUACUGGGCGUAAAGGGCGCGUAGGCGGCUCGCUAAGUCGGGUGUGAAAACUCUGGGCUCAACCCAGAGCCUGCAUUCGAAACUGACGGGCUAGAGUUUUGGAGGGGAAAGCGGAAUUCCUGGUGUAGCAGUGAAAUGCGUAGAUAUCAGGAGGAACACCGGUGGCGAAGGCGGGUCUCUGGGCCGUAACUGACGCUGAGGAGCGAAAGCGUGGGGAGCGAACAGG
rnacentral:rRNA from 1 species